rnacentral:rRNA from 1 species
CAAUAGCGUAUAUUUAAGUUGUUGCAGUUAAAAAGCUCGUAGUUGGAUCUCGGUUAAGAGCGACCGGUCCGCCGUUUGGUGUGCACUGGUUGGUUUUAACUUCCUGUAGAGGACGUGCUCUGGGUUUAACGACCUGGACUCGGAGUCUACGUGGUUACUUUGAAAAAAUUAGAGUGUUCAAAGCGGGCUUACGCUUGAAUAUUUCAGCAUGGAAUAACACUAUAGGACUCCUGUCCUAUUUCGUUGGUCUCGGGACGGGAGUAAUGAUUAAGAGGAACAGUUGGGGGCAUUCGUAUUUCAUUGUCAGAGGUGAAAUUCUUGGAUUUAUGAAAGACGAACUUCUGCGAAAGCAUUUGCCAAGGAUGUUUUCAUUAA